CAUAUUUAAAAUAUACUUAAAUGUAUAAUUUUUUUUCACCAGGUAAUAGUGCCAGGGAUAUAGAAAAUAUGUUUAGUCUGUUUCUUGAACUCAGUGUACAGAAGAUUUUCAACAGCAUUCAUUGGACAAAAAAUUGGGUUGCAUUAGUAUGAACUUAAUUUUGCUGUUAAUCCAGGCUGCAUUAUGGGACUGGGAAUCAUUAAUAAAGCAAAAAAAAAAAAAAAAAAAAAAAAAUCCCCUUGAUUUUUGGAGAUGGAGUUCUCAAACUCAAAGCAAAGACCAUGGGCUGUAGCACUUUAGCUUAAAUAAAUACAAAUAAAACCACUGUCAAACUUGAGUGUGUAAGGACUUAUUUCCUUUACCGCUCUUUGCAACAUGUCUACUCAUAUCUGAAAUAUGAGUAGACAGACGCAUAUUUCCAACACAAGCACCAAACUCACAUGUUUAGCGGUUUAUUCAGGCUUCAUUUUUUCCUCUGGUUCUUUUGCUUUAAUUCUCUUCUCACUGUUUAGAAUUUACAAACACUGCAAGCAAAAGAAGAGGUUCAACAGUAUAGCGAUAGGCCUUCUCAUAAAAUUCACAAUCCAUACACAUUCUGUACCAUUACUCUUUGUAAUUAGUCAACUAAUAAAUGCCACCUUACUGACAUAGUCCUGAUAUUUACUUUAUUUUUAUUGUCUGCAUCUGGUGAAAGCUGUCUCCCUUUCUCUUCACUAUUCCUCUUGAGCUCCACCUGAGUUCCUGCAAUGGCCACAGUCAGUGUCCAGACCAGCAGGGGGCAGUGCUGUAUUCACCUGUGUUGCUCAGGGUGUCCCUGAUCCCCAUCUAAUUUGGCUGAAGAAUGGCAAAGUCUUGAUAUCAGGACAAACUGUCAAGCUGACAAAUAACAACAGUACUUUAGCUCUGACCCAUAUAAGCUCAGAUGAUGAGGCUAUCUACCAGUGCAUCGCAGAGAAUAGUGCUGGUACUAACCAGGCAAGUGCCCGUCUAGCUGUGGCCCAAGCUAAAGACCUGCCUGCUGCCCCCCAAGCCCUCAUGGCGAGUGCUUUGUCCAUCAACACCCUGCAAAUAACAUGGAGUAAUCCACCCAUCAGCAUUGCUGAUGACAUCAUCGGAUACAUCUUACACAUCCGCAAACUGGGUGAACCUGAUCAUAUGGAACUGCAGGAGGCCAUAAGCAAGGACACUUUUCAGCAUGAUGCAACCAACCUGGAACCUAGCACAACCUACUCUCUCUACCUGAAAGCCUAUUCUUCCUUGGGGGCAAGCCAGCAGUCCAACAGUGUAAUUAAAACAACACUUGGCAGU